UAAGCAUAUCAAUAAGCGGAGGAAAAGAAGACCAACAGGGAUUGCCCUAGUAACGGCGAGUGAAGCGGCAACAGCUCAAAUUUGAAAUCUGGCUCCCUUGGGGGUCCGAGUUGUAAUUUGUAGAGGGUGCUUUGGUAUUAGCUGUGGUCUAAGACCCUUGGAACAGGGCGUCACAGAGGGUGAGAAUCCCGUAUGUGGCCAGCAGCUCUUGCCUUGUAAAGCCCCUUCGACGAGUCGAGUUGUUUGGGAAUGCAGCUCUAAAUGGGAGGUAAAUUUCUUCUAAAGCUAAAUACUGGCCAGAGACCGAUAGCGCACAAGUAGAGUGAUCGAAAGAUGAAAAGCACUUUGGAAAGAGAGUCAAAAAGCACGUGAAAUUGUUGAAAGGGAAGCGCUUGCAGCCAGACUUGCCCGUAGUUGUUCAUCUAGGCUCUUGCCUAGUGCACUCUUCUGCGGGCAGGCCAGCAUCAGUCCAGGCGGUCGGAUAAAGGCCUUGGGAAUGUGGCUCCUUUCGGGGAGUGUUAUAGCCCAGGGUGCCAUGCGGCCAGCCUGAACUGAGGUCCGCGCUUCUGCUAGGAUGCUGGCGUAAUGGCUGUAAGCGGCCCGUCUUGAAACACGGACCAAGGAGUCUAACAUCUAUGCGAGUGUUUGGGUGUCAAGCCCGAGCGCGCAAUGAAAGUGAACGGAGGUGGGAACCCCUCGGGGUGCACCAUCGACCGAUCCUGAUGUCUUCGGAUGGAUUUGAGUAAGAGCAUAGCUGUUGGGACCCGAAAGAUGGUGAACUAUGCCUGAAUAGGGUGAAGCCAGAGGAAACUCUGGUGGAGGCUCGCAGCGGUUCUGACGUGCAAAUCGAUCGUCAAAUUUGGGCAUAGGGGCGAAAGACUAAUCGAACUAUCUAGUAGCUGGUUCCUGCCGAAGUUUCCCUCAGGAUAGCAGUAACGUCUUCAGUUUUAUGAGGUAGAGCGAAUGAUUAGAGGCCUGGGGGUUGAAACAACCUUCACCUAUUCUCAAACUUCGAAUAUGUAAGAAGUCCUUGUUACUUAAUUGAACGUGGACAUUUGAAUGUAUCGUUACUAGUGGGCCAUUUUUGGUAAGCG
rnacentral:rRNA from 1 species